GAGUUUGAUCGUGGCUCAGGACGAACGCUGGCGGCAUGCCUAAUACAUGCAAGUCGAACGCACGAAGUUGAAAAGCUUGCUUUUCGACCAAGUGAGUGGCGGACGGGUGAGUAACACGUGGGUAACCUGCCCAUAAGAGGGGGAUAACAUUCGGAAACGGAUGCUAAUACCGCAUAUUUCAAGUGACCGCAUGGUCGCUUGAUGAAAGGUGGCUUCGGCUACCACUUAUGGAUGGACCCGCGGUGCAUUAGUUAGUUGGUGAGGUAAUGGCUCACCAAGACCAUGAUGCAUAGCCGACCUGAGAGGGUGAUCGGCCACACUGGGGACUGAGACACGGCCCAGACUCCUACGGGAGGCAGCAGUAGGGAAUCUUCCGCAAUGGACGAAAGUCUGACGGAGCAAUGCCGCGUGAGUGAAGAAGGUUUUCGGAUCGUAAAACUCUGUUGUUAGAGAAGAACAAGGAUGAGAGUAACUGCUCAUCCCCUGA
rnacentral:rRNA from 1 species